UGCAACCAUGAAAUCGACGGAUUCUUCUUCCAACGCUGCCAACGCCGAUACCACCACCACCGCUUCUUCGAUGCCUUCCAACAAACUCAAGUCGGUGCUGUUGGGUGUCGGUCGUGUCUUGGCCGUCUUGGCCUUGGCUGGAGU
rnacentral:ribozyme from 1 species